rnacentral:rRNA from 1 species
GACGAACGCUGGCGGCGUGCUUAACACAUGCAAGUCGAACGGAAAGGCCUGCUUUCCCUUGUGGAUUGCGGGUACUCGAGUGGCGAACGGGUGAGUAACACGUGAGUGAUCUGCCCCCAACUUGGGUAUAAGCCUGGGAAACUGGGUCUAAUUCCCGAUAGGACUGCAGGGUGGUGCCUGUGGUGGAAAACGAUUUUCUAGUGGUUGGGGAUGAGCUCGCGGCCUAUCAGCUUGUUGGUGGGGUAAUGGCCUACCAAGGCGGCGACGGGUAGCCGGCCUGAGAGGGUGGACGGCCACAUUGGGACUGAGAUACGGCCCAGACUCCUACGGGAGGCAGCAGUGGGGAAUAUUGCACAAUGGGCGGAAGCCUGAUGCAGCGACGCCGCGUGGGGGAUGGCGGCCUUCGGGUUGUAAACUCCUUUCGACCGCGAGGAAGCCACCUGGUUGGAAGGGUGGUGACGGUAGUGGUAGAAGAAGCACCGGCUAACUACGUG